rnacentral:piRNA from 1 species
UGGUGGUUGGCUUGCUUGCAUGGA